rnacentral:rRNA from 1 species
UACGAAGGGAGCUAGCGUUUUUCGGAUUUAUUGGGCGUAAAGAGCGCGUAGGCUGCUAAUUAAGUUGAAAGUGAAAGCCCAAAGCUUAACUUUGGAAUUGCUUUCAAAACUGAUUAGCUAGAGUUUGGUAGGGGAUGAUGGAAUUCUUGGUGUAGGGGUGAAAUUCUUAGAUAUCAGGAGGAACACCGGUGGCGAAGGCGAUCAUCUGGGCCAUAACUGACGCUAAUGCGCGAAAGCGUGGGGAGCAAACAGG